UACAGUCAUUCUUCCACACAUAAAGGGAAAACGGACUCACUAGGAGGACCUAGACUCUUUCGGCUUGAACUGUUAACCAAUGGUGGAAAUGCAAGAAUGCUGAAGUUGUGCCUUCAGAGCCAAUAGAGUGGAUUUGUGUGUCCCACAUGACUGUGUUUCCCCUGUCUUUCACAUGGGCAGUAUUUAGUUCAAUUCAGAACUGCAGAUAGUAUAGCUUGCAGAGCAGCAAUGGGAUGUCUGAGCACAAGUGGCUGACUUACAGGCGUCUUCAGGAAGCUCAUUUGUACAUUUCUCCUGAAUAAACUGGGAUUCUGCACCCUUGACGUCCUCCUACCCUCCUUGUCUCUGCGGAAGGAGACAGCGACCUGCACAGCACAACAAAACUACAAAUCACCACAGAGCUGCAGACCAGCAAAUGAAGUGAACUAAGGGCAAUUUGACCAACAUCAUCUGUGUCGAUUCCCCAGAAGUCGAUGAAACAUGUUAUCAGGUCUCCAAGGUAAAAUGUCAAUACAACAUGAAAAUUUAUCAUUUGAGAAAGGUUUAAUAAAGAAGAUGAACACACAACACUAAGAACAGAAAAGGCGUGCAGCAAGCUAAGAGGGGACCUAGCAUAAAAGAAUUCAGACCAUCCGAGCUGUGAGACCACCUUCUGCAGGAGAACUCUGCUCACAAAUGCGAAUAGAAAGAAAUUUGGAAAACUGCCAGCUCCUUGCACAGAGACUGAAAUAGAGGGGCAAAGAAGGGUGUUGGUAAGAGAAAAAUGACUGAAGUCGCACCGACUGUAUGAUUAAAAUCAUUGCGUGAUUUUUUUACCCCCCCCCCCCCCCCCAGACAUUUGAGGAUGCUGUCAAGUCAAUGGAGUUCUGUUGUUGUGGUUGCUUCAGUGAACAUUCAACGCUGUCGGCCUUAACACCGAGGAUAGCAACCUAAUCACCACGUGAAGUUUCUCCCCCACUCUGCCAAGCUUUACAAAAAAGGUCACAAUCAACAUUCAUUGCUGUCGGUGGGUUUAACUAUGUGGACAAGCUCACUGAACAAUGAAUGCAACUGUGGCCCCACAUUUUACAGUUGCCGUUGAGAGGAACAUCAGCUCUGAAAGCAGUAGUGAGAAGCAAACACUCCUUAUAGGAUACAUUUUUCUGGUCAAAAAAUAGUUGGUGAUACUCACUUUUUGCUUGCUUGUUUUUAAGUGUGUUUAACUUAGGUGACCAGAAAAGAAAAAAAACACUGCAUUUUUUCUGGAAUAUUGUCCUCCCAGGGUUCACUAUCACUGAAACCAUAAAAAUUCUUAUUCAGUAUGUAUGAGGAAAUAAGUAAAAAUUCAGGCAACUUUGUGUAUAGCCACUUCUAGCGUAAGAGGAAAGAAUAUUUAAAUCUCCUUUUAACUAGCCAUUGUAGAAUUGUUCAAAAAUUUCUUCUACGUUUGUCACACAAAUACAAAUGGGAGCCAGAGUUCAGAGAUACUGAUAAAAUGUUACAUCAAAUAAAAGAUUAAUUUUACAUGAAAAUUACUUUAAGCAGCUAAAUAAAUACUAUUAGACAGUAUAUACUAUUACGUUUACCCUUUUUUAGGGAUCUGUAAGAUGACAGAGAAAUGUAUAUCCAGUAAUAAUAAUAGAACAGUAGUUACAUUGUACAAAUUGCUGUAAACUUUGGAUACCUAUGUCACACUCAGUACUGCUGAUAGUAAUAAGAAAAUAAAAGUGUAAGUAAAGCUCACAGCUUUGUCCU